rnacentral:rRNA from 1 species
CAGCCGCCACGGGAAUACGAAGGGUGCAAGCGUUAAUCGGAAUUACUGGGCGUUAAGCGCACGCAGGCGGUUUGUUAAGUCAGAUGUGAAAUCCCCGAGCUUAACUUGGGAACUGCAUUUGAAACUGGCAAGCUAGAGUCUUGUAGAGGGGGGUAGAAUUCCAGGUGUAGCGGUGAAAUGCGUAGAGAUCUGGAGGAAUACCGGUGGCGAAGGCGGCCCCCUGGACAAAGACUGACGCUCAGGUGCGAAAGCGUAGGGAGCAAACAGGAUUAGAUACCCCAGUAGUCCCUGUCUCUUAUAC